ACAUACUUCAUAUAUUACUAGAACUCGACUAAGGAUAAAGAGUCGCGUUGAACCGCUUUUAUGUUACAAUUUGUGGACCAAUUUAUUUUGUUACUAGAAGUCACUUGACCUCCAUGUUCGGAUUACUCGUAUGGAUACUGCUUAAGUGCAUUAACAAUCGUAACAUCUCGAUAAUUAAAUAGAACAGAUAAGUUUUUAAGCAGAUAAUUUGUUGCCGUAGAGAAGAAUAACAAAAUUGCUAGGUAAUAUACGCUUUACCAACAAUAUAGGUAUAAAGGUUAAAUGCCCAGUACAUUCUUGUCACAUUAGCAUCUAUUACCAAUAUUUGUGACAUCAAGCAUAUGUCCUUUCCUAACUUCAAACUAUAAUUACUUUUUAAAAGAUUAAACUCCUGGCCUUAUUGCCUCCACUGCAGACAGAGGGCUGGUGCAUAUUUCGCUCAGAGAAUCGGUAAAUAAGUGAUCAACAAUUGAAACAGAGACGAGGACAAACAAUAAUAUCUCAACUAAGGUUAAGUUCAAUGCUUUAAAUAUAUUAUCUCUAUCUUUACCUGUCAAUAUUAUAAAUAUAUACACACUGAUUGUCUGUUUAUAAUCAAAACACUCAGAAACUCUUACAUUAACAUUUAUCAACUCAACUUUACAUUAUUCAGAAACGAUUUCUUUACAAAUGUAUGAUUGAAUUGUGUUAGGCC
rnacentral:misc_RNA from 1 species